rnacentral:rRNA from 1 species
UACGUAGGGUGCAAGCGUUAAUCGGAAUUACUGGGCGUAAAGCGUGCGCAGGCGGCUUUGCAAGACAGAUGUGAAAUCCCCGGGCUUAACCUGGGAACUGCAUUUGUGACUGCAUGGCUGGAGUGCGGCAGAGGGGGGAUGGAAUUCCGCGUGUAGCGGUGAAAUGCGCAGAUAUCAGGAGGAACACCGGUGGCGAAGGCACUUUACUGGGCUAUUACUAACACUCAGAGACGAAAGCUAGGGUAGCAAAUGGG